rnacentral:rRNA from 1 species
GGGGAAUCUUGCGCAAUGCGCGAAAGCGUGACGCAGCAACACCGCGUGAGGGAAGACGGCCUUAGGGUUGUAAACCUCUUUCAGAUGGGACGAAGGUUCGACGGUGAAUAGCCGAUCGGAUUGACGGUACCGUCAGAAGAAGCUCCGGCUAACUACGUGCCAGCAGCCGCGGUAAUACGUAGGGAGCGAGCGUUGUCCGGAAUCAUUGGGCGUAAAGAGCACGUAGGUGGAUUGAUCAGUCUGUCGUGAAAGUCAACGGCUCAACCGUUGAAUGCCGGUGGAUACUGUUGAUCUAGAGUACGGAAGAGGCGAGUGGAAUUCCUGGUGUAGCGGUGGAAUGCGCAGAUAUCAGGAGGAACACCAAUAGCGAAGGCAGCUCGCUGGGACGUUACUGACACUGAGGUGCGAAAGCGUGGGGAGCAAAC